GACGAACGCUGGCGGCGUGCCUAAUACAUGCAAGUAGGACGCAGUUGCGAACGGGUGAGUAACGCGUAGGUAACUGCCUCUUAGCGGGGGAUAACUAUUGGAAACGAUAGCUCAUACCGCAUACUCGUAGAUGGACCUGCGUUGUAUUAGCUAGUAGGUAGGGUAAUGGCCUACCUAGGCAACGAUACAUAGCCGACCUGAGAGGUGGAUCGGGCACACUGGGACUGAGAAACGGCCCAGACUCCGACAGGAGGCAGCAGAGGGGAAUCUUCGGCAAUGGGGGUGACCGUUACCGAGCAACGCCGCGUGAGUGAGGAAGAUUUUCGGAGCUUAUAGCUCUGUGGUGAAGGAGGCGGUACUUAACCAGAAAGGGACGGCUAACUACGUGCCAGCAGCCGCGGUAAUAC
rnacentral:rRNA from 1 species